UACGUAGGGGGCUAGCGUUGCUCGGAAUCACUGGGCGUAAAGGGUGCGUAGGCGGGCUUUUAAGUCAGAGGUGAAAUCCUGGAGCUCAACUCCAGAACUGCCUUUGAUACUGAAAGUCUUGAGUAUGGGAGAGGUGAGUGGAACUGCGAGUGUAGAGGUGAAAUUCGUAGAUAUUCGCAAGAACACCAGUGGCGAAGGCGGCUCACUGGCCCAUAACUGACGCUGAGGCACGAAAGCGUGGGGAGCAAACAGG
rnacentral:rRNA from 1 species